GUGACUUGCCCAAAGAUUAUAUAAUGUCUGAAGCAGGAUUUGAACUCAUGUCUUCCUGAUUCCAAGUGCAAUACUAGUCUAUCCAUGGAUAACACUGAAAAGGAGAAGUGUGUCCUUCCCUGGGCUAAUGGGACUUCCUCAGCCCAGACUCCCACCCCUAGUUACACAUUGCCUCAGCCAGUGGCUACCUGGAGGCAGCUGAGCUGUUGCUGGGACACAAGGUCAACUUGAACGCCAGGGACCAAGAUGAUUGGGAGCCAUUGCAUGCAGCAGCCUGCUGGGGCCAGGUGCAUCUAGUGGAGCUGCUGGUGGCCCAUGGAGCUGAUCUGAAUGGGAAGUCACUGCUGGAUGAGACGCCCCUGGAUGUGUGUGGGGAUGAAGAGAUGCGGGCCAAGCUGCUGGAGCUUAAGCACAAGCAUGAAGCCAUCAUGCGCUCCCAUGACCGCCACAGGGGCUCAGGCUCCCUGCUACAAAGACGAACGUCCAGUGCAGGCAGCCGAGGGUGAGGCCUUCACCUUGGAUCCAUAGCCACAGCCCAGUCUGCCUAUCCCAGGGCCUGCCACUGGGGGGAGCCCACACCCUGGGGCUACUUGGUCAUUUCCUCUCCCCCAAACUUCCACUACCAACCCCUCUGAUGCCUAGUCCUCCUGUUGGGUCCCCUCAUCUCCCCAUUUCCUGCCUCCGCCCCUCAGAGAAUGGUUUCCCAUCCCCAGCCUUUUCCAGAAUGCUUUGUACUGUGUCAACUAUUUACUUAAGGUUUGUUCCAAAGAAACAAGCAGAAUCAGUUUCCACCUUUAUGAAAGUCUUGCUCAAUAAACGAACAGAAUGGGAUUCACCUUAAACAAAGGUUUAAUUAAGGAACAAACAGAAUUAGGUUGUAUAUGUGUUUAUAGGAGCUUAUUUAUUCUUAUUGAGCCAGAGAAAAUAAUUCUGAACUCCCUGAAGGCUUAGUUCAAGAAGUUUUUUUAUAACCAUAGAGUAAGCCCCCGCCCCCAACCCCCCAACUCAGGACCCCAGUAUCCUUCAUUAGCCAAAAUUAUAAUUCCACAAAAUAAGUAGGGUGGCCCCAGGAUAUCUGGCUUUCUGCCAACGGUAACCCUAAGGUAUUGUAAAAUAGGGGCUGUCAAGACAGUGCCUCUAACAGGGGAGGGACAUAAAAAGAUAAGGGAAAUGUCCAGUGGGCCUUGUCUUUGGCAGACAAACGUUCCCAGUCAGCCAAAUGCAACAGGAGGACUUGGAUUCACUCAGAGAGCAGAGCAAAGCCCAACAUGUCUGUUAUGCCAGAGCAUACAAAGCAUAAUGGUAGGUUAAGCUCAGAGUGGGCCAAAAAUGUUUUUAUCCUGAUUGGCCAAUCCGGAUUUUAGGCUUUUCUCAGGUAAGGGAGGCUCAAGCUGGUUCACAUUCCCCUCCUUUUGGUCAAGGGUGCAAAAAGGUGCCAACCUGCAGACCAAGGAAAGCAUGGAAAACUUGCCUCUUCCUCAGGGAAUGGGAAGAGAUGUCCUCUUGUAGAGGGAGUCUUUAGAUGAUCCAGCAGUCCACACCCACGAGUUGGCAGCUGUGGGGGUAGCCAGAAAGACCUGAUAUGAGCUGACAAAUGAGAGAAAAUACCACAACAUAGGAACUUCAUUAAAGGCACAUAGUGAUGGUUCAGUUUCCCAGUCAUGCAAGGCUAGGUUCAAACAAUACAAUAAAGUUUUUCUCAUAAUUCCCCAAAUUGCAUAAUUACAUUAAGUCAGGUAUAGAUUAAACCACGUAGAAGGCUCACAAUGGACUAGUUUUGAGAAGGGUGACUUACAUGUCACCAGGGUAACCAUGGACACUUAAACAUAAACCAUAUGAAGCAAUACAAUCAUUAUCACCAAUGUUAACUAACAUCAAGUCUCUGUAUCCCAGUAACCCAUUCCUAAUGUCCAUUUAAGCAGCACCUUUUGGGUCCCAGGUGUCUCAUGUAGUUAUCUGGUCUCUAGAUAUCCCUUCUUAGACAGUAGGUUUUAUUCUCAGGACAGUUCUAAAAGGAAAUCCUGCCUGUCUGGUUUCAAAUCUACAAGUUCCUAGAUAAUUCUGACAGUAUAAUUUAAUACAGUAACUUGAAUUUGAUUCUCCAGUUUUGAAACUUCAGAGAAUUUCAGUUUAUGUAUCAUUUGCUGUUUCUGUCCUUACCUAAAUUCUGUACCUGGUAUAAUAAUCUUUUUAAAAUUUGAGGGUCCAACCAU